UACAGAGGUCUCAAGCGUUGUUCGGAUUCAUUGGGCGUAAAGGGUGCGUAGGCGGCGCGGUAAGUCGGGUGUGAAAUCUCGGAGCUUAACUCCGAAACUGCAUUCGAUACUGCCGUGCUUGAGGACUGGAGAGGAGACUGGAAUUUACGGUGUAGCGGUGAAAUGCGUAGAUAUCAGGAGGAACACCGGUGGCGAAGGCGGGUCUCUGGACAGUUCCUGACGCUGAGGCACGAAGGUCAGGGGAGCAAACGGG
rnacentral:rRNA from 1 species